GGAGGCGUAGCUCAAUUGGUUAGAGUGCCACCCUGUCACGGUGGAUGUUGCGGGUUCGAGUCCCGUCGCUUCCGCCA
rnacentral:tRNA from 1 species